rnacentral:rRNA from 1 species
UACGUAGGGUGCGAGCGUUAAUCGGAAUUACUGGGCGUAAAGCGUGCGCAGGCGGUUUUGUAAGCCAGAUGUGAAAUCCCUGGGCUCAACUCAGGAACUGCAUUGGAAACUGGCGGGCUAGAGUACCGGAGAGGGAAGCGGAAUUCCUGGUGUAGCGGUGAAAUGCGUAGAUACCAGGAGGAACACCGGUGGCGAAAGCGGCGCGCUGGACCACUACUGACGCUGAGGAACGAAAGCUAGGGGAGCAAACAGG